ensembl:lncRNA LINC00343 long intergenic non-protein coding RNA 343
GGCAGUUAGGCUGCAGUGAAUUCUACAAAGAGGCUAUGGGAAAGAAACCUGGAAAGUACCCUUGGCUGUGUACAUUUGAGUAAAGAGAGCACUAUAAAAUCAAAAACCAAUGAAAUGGUUUCCAGAACACAGAACUAUUAAGCUUAAGAAAAGGACAGAAGGAACUGAAGAGAGAGGAACUGUUUUGGAGCAUCACACUUCCACCUCAGAAGAAAUAAGGAAGGAAGGAGGAGGGUGUUCCCACGGCUCUUCAACCAGGCCGGCUCUUCAGCCUACAUCCCCAUCUCAUCAAGUAAAAGGGAUUUUUCAACUGGACCAACCAGAUGGUUUAACAGUGCACUCCCACACCAUUCAACUACGCAAGGGAGAUACACUUAACAUAUGCAGUCGUAUAACACCUACUAACAUUUUCAAACAUUAAACCUUUAAAAAAGAGUUCUAAAGAAAUAGAAGCUUGAAGUAUCAUCUCUCAAGUAUAUAGACACUACUUCAUGGUGUGGUAAUAUAUGCAUAUAGAAGCUAGUAAACACCUCCAGGAGAUGCAAAAGGAAUUAGAACUGCCACAAGGUGCAAGCAAAACCUUGAGCUUCUUUAAAAUAUGAAGACUUCGAAGUUAUUUAUCCAAACCAACCUGAUCAUUUCUUAAGAGUGAAUAUACCUUGGAAGACGUGUCCUGCCUUUAGUAGCGUCACAAUGGAUUACAUCCUCUAUAAAGCAGUCUGGGUUCUGUUUUUCCUCUUCUAAUCCUUCACCCAUCUGAGCUAAAGUCUAGACCUAAGGAGGCUACUAAUUCAGGGAUCGAGUAAUCUGCCAAGCAAGAGUUUAUUCAAGCACAGUUUGAAAUAAAGGUUUCAAAUGCAUAGCCUGUCGAUACUUUGGAAGGAUUCUCAUCAUAACGAGAUAUGGGAGGACACCUGAGACGGCAGGCCAGAAGUCACUCAGUAGGAGAAACAUCCGUUAGAAGUAAUAAUGUGGGAUUGCUGAAGUAAAGACUAUAGGAAGAAAAAAGUGUCUGUGUGUAGGAAACGGAAAGGGAGAGAAAAAUACACUGAGAUGGUAAAGUAAGGAAGUGGAAGAUCAGCAGAAUGUGCAGAUGCCAAGCCAUCCAAGAAAAUCAUCUCUUGUGAUUGUUGCGAAGUCAACUAGCUAAUGUGACUCACUGCUAGGCUGUUGGAUCUGAGACUUAUGUGGGAUAAUUUAGAAACUUGCUAGUGUCUUAAGAUCAAUUACUCACCAAUGAGAGUGGCAUUGAACUGUGAAUGUUCCUCCUAGAUUUUCCAUGAAGACUAAUGGUUUUGUCUUGUCUUGAAUUUGUUUUAAUUACAAUUUGUAUACAUCCUGUUCCACCCUGAAAUUUUUAUUUUCCAAAUGGUUUUUCAUUUAAAGAGACUAAAUAAAGGUUCUGACUGAGU